GUUGAUAAGGUUAAGUGAAUAAGGGCGCACGGUGGAUGCCUUGGCACUAGGAGCCGAUGAAGGACGGGACUAACACCGAUAUGCUUUGGGGAGCUGUAAGUAAGCUAUGAUCCAGAGAUUUCCGAAUGGGGGAACCCAAUAUCUUUUAUAGGAUAUUACUUUUCAGUGAAUACAUAGCUGAUUAGAGGUAGACGCAGAGAACUGAAACAUCUUAGUACCUGCAGGAAGAGAAAGAAAAUUCGAUUCCCUGAGUAGCGGCGAGCGAAACGGGAAGAGCCCAAACCAACAAGCUUGCUUGUUGGGGUUGUAGGACUCCGAUAUGGUAGUCUGUUAGUAUAGUUGAAGGAUUUGGAAAAUUCCGCUAAAGAGGGUGAAAGCCCCGUAGACGAAAUGCUGACAACACCUAGGAGGAUCCUGAGUACGGCGGAACACGAGAAAUUCCGUCGGAAUCCGCGGGGACCAUCCCGCAAGGCUAAAUACUCCCUAGUGACCGAUAGUGAACCAGUACCGUGAGGGAAAGGUGAAAAGCACCCCGGAAGGGGAGUGAAAUAGAUCCUGAAACCGUGUGCCUACAACAAGUCAAAGCUCGUUAAUGAGUGAUGGCGUGCCUUUUGUAGAAUGAACCGGCGAGUUACGAUUGCAUGCGAGGUUAAGUCGAAGAGACGGAGCCGCAGCGAAAGCGAGUCUGAAUAGGGCGAAUGAGUAUGUAGUCGUAGACCCGAAACCAUGUGAUCUACCCAUGUCCAGGUUGAAGGUGCGGUAAAACGCACUGGAGGACCGAACCCACGUACGUUGAAAAGUGCGGGGAUGAGGUGUGGGUAGCGGAGAAAUUCCAAACGAACUUGGAGAUAGCUGGUUCUCUCCGAAAUAGCUUUAGGGCUAGCCUCGGAAUUGAGAAUGAUGGAGGUAGAGCACUGUUUGGACUAGGGGCCCAUCUCGGGUUACCGAAUUCAGAUAAACUCCGAAUGCCAUUCAUUUAUAUCCGGGAGUCAGACUGCGAGUGAUAAGAUCCGUAGUCGAAAGGGAAACAGCCCAGACCACCAGCUAAGGUCCCAAAAUAUAUGUUAAGUGGAAAAGGAUGUGGGGUUGCACAGACAACUAGGAUGUUGGCUUAGAAGCAGCCACCAUUUAAAGAGUGCGUAAUAGCUCACUAGUCGAGUGACCCUGCGCCGAAAAUGUACCGGGGCUAAACAUAUUACCGAAGCUGUGGACUACACCAUUAGGUGUAGUGGUAGGAGAGCGUUCUAAGGGCGUUGAAGGUCGAUCGUGAGGACGGCUGGAGCGCUUAGAAGUGAGAAUGCCGGUAUGAGUAGCGAAAGACAGGUGAGAAUCCUGUCCACCGUAUGACUAAGGUUUCCUGGGGAAGGCUCGUCCGCCCAGGGUUAGUCGGGACCUAAGCCGAGGCCGAUAGGCGUAGGCGAUGGACAACAGGUUGAUAUUCCUGUACCAGUUGUUUUUGUUUGAGCAAUGGAGGGACGCAGUAGGCUAAGGAAUGCAUGCGAUUGGAAGUGCA
rnacentral:rRNA from 1 species